rnacentral:rRNA from 1 species
GUUUUUACGAUAAUAUGUAAAGUUUGGCCUGCCCACUGAAAAUUUUUAAAGGGCCGCGGUAAUUUGACCGUGCGAAGGUAGCAUAAUCAAUAGUCUUUUAAUUGAAGGCUGGAAUGAAUGGUUGGACAAGAAGCAUUCUGUCUUUUUUAUAAGGAUUGAAUUUAACUUUUAAGUGAAAAGGCUUAAUUGAUUUAAGGGGACGAUAAGACCCUAUAAAACUUUAUAUUAAUAUAUUAGUUUUUAAAUUUAAGUUUAAAGUAUACUAGUGUUAGGGAUAUUAUGUUGGGGCGACAAGAAUAUAAUUGUAACUGUUUGUUAGUUGAAAUAGGUAUUUUUAGAUAAUUUUGAUCCUUUAAUGGGGAUUAUAAGAAUAAGUUACUUUAGGGAUAACAGCGUUAUUUUUUCUGAGAGUUCUUAUCGACGAAAGUAGUUGCGACCUCGAUGUUGAAUUAAAGUUUCAGUGGGGUGUAGAAGUUCCAUUGGUAGGUCUGUUCGACCUUAAAAACUUUACAUGAUUUGAGUUCAAACCGGUGUAAG